CAUGAAAACCCAUGUUGUUGGCGCUGAUUUUGCAGCAGAUCUCCAGUCUGCAAGUCCACCGAGAAGUGAACAAUCACCAUUCUCACUACUUCACUGGAGAAAUUGAGCAGGAAACGAAAGAUCUGGUCAGAUAGAGAAAAAAAGAGAGUGCAUGCUGUACCUGCACUAUAAGUAGAGGCAGAGGUCUCAAAGCUGGUCUUGGUCGUCCAAAUGCAAGAAUAAGAACUGGAGAACCAUUGUGCACGGAGGAUUUGAAGGAUUGGACGAUUGAUGUGUUCACCGAUGCACUUGCUCGAGCAGAAGAAAGUGUUCGUAAUUCAAGAUGACUUCAAUCUGAUUUGUACUUACCCUGUACAUUGCAGUAAUGUAAGGUCCUUUUCAAGAGUAGACUGUCCAUGUAGUUUACUCGCCUAGUAAAUUCUUGGAUAACUGAUAAGUCCAUGAAGGUAGAAAAAUGCAGGUCACACAUUUGAUGUCAUCAUCACAUUUUGAUCGAGUGAACUGAGGCUCAGCAUUCCACAGAAGCAUGAUUUAGGUUGUAAGGUGGGUGAUUUCGUUGUUCAUUUUCUGAACUUUUGGUCAUUUGCAUAUCAAAUGCAUCACCAGAAACAAAUUCCAAGUUAUCUUUAAUAUGAUACCAGCUAAAAAUUCAGAAACAUGUAAUGCCAGGUCAUCGAUGUGAUGCUUUCGACCUUCCAUUUAGUUUCCUAUGGGGAUCUUGAUCAA